rnacentral:rRNA from 1 species
GUGGGGAAUAUUGGACAAUGGGCGAAAGCCUGAUCCAGCAAUGCCGCGUGAGUGAUGAAGGCCUUAGGGUUGUAAAGCUCUUUUACCAGGGAUGAUAAUGACAGUACCUGGAGAAUAAGCUCCGGCUAACUCCGUGCCAGCAGCCGCGGUAAUACGGAGGGAGCUAGCGUCGUUCGGAAUUACUGGGCGUAAAGCGCACGUAGGCGGUUACUCAAGUCAGAGGUGAAAGCCCGGGGCUCAACCCCGGAACUGCCUUUGAAACUAGGUAACUAGAAUCUUGGAGAGGUCAGUGGAAUUCCGAGUGUAGAGGUGAAAUUCGUAGAUAUUCGGAAGAACACCAGUGGCGAAGGCGACUGACUGGACAAGUAUUGACGCUGAGGUGCGAAAGCGUGGGGAGCAAACAGGAUUAGAAACCCGAGUAGUCC